AUUCACCAUGACACUAGCUCCCAGUGGCCUGAUGAUACAAGACUGCACAUUCUGCUUUGGUUACCUCUGAUGAAGAAAAUCACAGCAAAGACAGUGACCCCACAGAUGGUCCAUCCUCUGACGUCCACGUACACUCAAACCUAUACUGAAGAAAACUCAAGCUCCCAAGUCAAGGUCAACAAGAAAGACCAAUGAUCUCAGCAAAAACUAAAGAGCAUGAGGCCAGAACCAGGAUUCAAUAAACUCCAUCCUCAAGUCUGGCUUUCAAGCCUGAAGCUCCUCCUUUAUCAAGCUUGUGAGUAAAACUAAGUUUUAAUAAAGUAAUGCUGACCUAGUGGC